rnacentral:rRNA from 1 species
AAUCAACGCUGGCGGCGUGCCUCAGACAUGCAAGUCGAACGAUUAAAGCUCUCUUCGGAGAGUGUAUAGAGUGGCGCACGGGUGAGUAACACGUAAGUAAUCUACCCUCGAGUGGGGAAUAACGUCCGGAAACGGACGCUAAUACCGCAUAAUGCAGCGGCACCGCAAGGUGACAGUUGUUAAAGGAGAAAUUCGCUUGAGGAGGAGCUUGCGGCAGAUAGCUUGUUGGUAAGUAACGGCUUACCAAGGCUACGAUCUGUAACCGGUCUUAGAGGACGGUCGGUCAUACUGGACACUGAAUAACGGGUCAGACUCCUAC